rnacentral:lncRNA from 1 species
UUGAAAAAUUGAAAUUAGUUCUAAAAUUAAUUAAAAAAUUGGGCAAUUUUAUAUCAAUGGGUCUAUGGUGUUUCUCGAUUUCGUUUUCCACCUUGACUUUACCAAUAAUAAACAUUUCUCAGUCAUGUCUUGAAAAAGCCUUUGAUAGGCUGGAAUGAUCCUUCAUUAGGCAACCGCUAGUUUUUUUCAAUUUCCCCCUGGGCUCUCUAAACUUAUCAUGUCCUACAUCUCUACCUCAUUUAUUUCCAUCCUUUUUAAUGGGGGCUACACAUCUAGUUUCAAUCCUUCCAGGGAAAUAAGACAGAGGGAUCCCCUAUCUCGUUACAUUUUCAUCCUUUCUAUGCAGCUUCUGUCUAGAAGGAUUAAUCAUAAAGUGGACACUCUUCAGUGGAAUCCUAUUCAGAUUAAUCGUAGAGGCCCAAAAAUCUUCCAUCUAUUCUUCAUAGAUGACCUUACCCUAUUUGCUAAAGAUAACAUUCUCAAUUACACUAACAUUGCUAGAACUUUUGCCAUCUUCAAUACUCACUCUGGCCGAAAAAUUAAUCUAGCCAAAUCUAAGAUGAUUUUCUCCUCCAACUGCCACACCUCUACAAAGGAUCAUCUCUCAUCUACUCUUGGCAUUAAGGCCAACAACUCUUUUGGGAAGUACUUGAGCUGUCCCAUUUUCCAUGGCCCUCCUAAACUCAAUGACUACCAGUUCAUUCUUAAUAAUUUAAGUACCAAAUUAGCUGAUUGGAAGGUUAAAAUCCUAAACAUGGCCGAUAGGACCACUCUUGCCAAGGCUAGUUUGGGAAGUAUCCCCAACCAUGUCAUACAGUAUAUCCUUCUUCAGAAUCAUAACCUUAUUGAUAAGGCCCAAAGAAACUUCAUCUGGGGCACUACUGACUCCAAAAAAAAAAAAGAAUGCACAUGGUUAGGUGGGACACUAUCACCUAACCCAAACACUUGGGUGAUCUGGGAAUGCAAAAAACUACUAUCAAGAAUGAAACUUUACUUUACAGUUUAGCCUGGAUACUGCAUUCUAAUCCCUCUACCUUAUGGGCUAGAGUUCUUACCUAAAGAGCACACCUAACACUGGAAGACACAUUUCCUCCCAUUCUCGAAUCUGGAGGAAUGGUCAUAGAGCCUGGAACCUCUGUCAUGAUAUUUUCCAAUGGUUUAUUAAUAAUGUCCACAAAGUUAAUAAUUGGAGAGAUAUCUGGGUCCCUAAUCACCCUCCGUUAUGGUCCAUUAUUCAAGGACCACUCCCCAAACCCUGUCCCUCGUUGUAACUUUCUUCCUUUUGUCAAAAUGGAGUCUAAAAUAUUGAUUCCCUCCCUUUUGACAUUCCCAACACAAUUAAAUUCAACAUCCAAAACUCUUUCCUACCUAACUGUAAAAGUCAAUCUAACACUCCUCUCUGACUUUCCACCGGUAACAGAGUCUUCUCUUGCAAAAUUGUCUACUAUCACAUAUUUUAUCAAAGGCAGCACUCAAUUCAUAGCUACCCUCAGCUAGGUUAGAUUUGGACUCUCCAGAUUCCUAAUAAAACCAAGUUCUUUGUUUGGCUCCUCCACCAUGACAACCUUCCCACCAAUUUUACUUUGGCUUAUUGGGGUUUAACAUCCUUCCUUACUGUCAUAAUUGCAACCAUCAGCUGGGAGAUGUUUCUCACCUCUUUUCAAUUGUCUUCAUGUUUUUUUCUUCUGGAAAGACCUCAUUCAAGGUUAUAAAGGAGACAAAGUCAUUCCCCCCAAGUUUUCCACCCUUCUACAUGGAAUAAUACUUGGAAGUUGUUUAAGGAUUCUAGUUUUGACAACCUUCUAGACUGGGUAACCUUACUUCUAUUUUUUCAUUGGACCAUCUGGAAGAAUAGGAAUUCUAAUGUGUUUAAUAACAAAUCCUUACCCCUCGUCUUUCAAAACUGCCUACUCGGAGGCAGUCGAAUUCUUUCAUCUAAAAACUCACCCAAACCCUAAGAUGAUUAGCACUAUAGAAGUCAACUAGAUUUUCCCCAGGCACUUCUAUAAUCUCAACACAGAUGGGUCUAGUUUUGGAAAAUCUUGGUAGGGGUGGCAUACGAGGAGUUAUAAGGAACUCUAAUGGUGACUGGAUCUUGGGCUUCUCUCAGAGUUUUUUUCAUGCCACUAAUAAUUUUAUGGAACUUGUUUUUUGCAUGCCACUAACAAUUUUAUAGAACUUCUAGCUGUUAGAAAAGGCCUGCAGCUAGUUUUUGAGUAUAAUCUCAACCCCAUUGUUAUAAACAUUGACUCUGAAGACGUGUUGUAUAUGAUUAAAAAUGUAAAUUCACUAUUUAACCUUUACAUUCAUGAUAGUUGGAUGAUGCUAAGAAGGCUAGGUAGACCCCCUGUCCAAUAGAGCUACAGGGAACAGAACAAAGUAGCGAAUGUUCUAGCAAAGGAAAAGGCCAAAAAUGACUUUUUGGAAAACUACAAGAUUUUUGUUGCUCCUUUCCCCCCAUCCCCACCCCCUUGUAGCCCAUACAAUAUGGUAUGAUAUGCAAAUAAAAAGUUUAUAUAGGACAACUUCUAACCUGUAAAUGCUUGGGCUACGCAAUCUUUAAAAACAUAAUAUUACUAUUCAAAAAACUGUCCAUAUUCAGCAACUAUGUGCAUGCCUCCCUCUUCGAAUCUGAUUUUUUUCAUCAAUCAACCUAUUCCAGGUCUCUUCUCUUUCUCUUUUUAGUACUUUUUCAUGAUAGAUUCAGAAUUUAAAGUUAUGAAUUUCAAAUUAUAAAUUCUAUUCUGAGUUAGUUUAAUAUUAUAAUUUAAAAACAAAAACACUAGGUUAUUACCAUCUGUUCUAGUCUUGGUGGAUGGUAACUGUUGAUAGUGGCAGGUGAAAGACAUUCAGUGGAGUAAUUCGAAAUGCACGUAAGAUGACACUACACACAGUUAUAAUAAUAAUAAUAAUAAUAAUAAUAAUAAUAAUUAUAAUAAUAAUAAUAAUAAUAGUCCAUUCCGUUCAAUUUUUUGAUGUAUUUUUCUUUUUAAUUCAUUUUUUCUUUUUUAGCAAGUUUCUACUUUCAAUUUCUCAUAUGACAUGUUUAAAGACAUUUUAGUACAUUUAACAUGUCCACCACAAAAUUCAAAAAUCUUCUUAUUUUACUUAAACUUAGUGUCAAAUCAUCAAUUUAAAACGAAAGGAGUAAUAAUUUAAUGACAAACAUAAGAUAUAGAUCAAAGUUAUUAAGUUCUCUCCAACUCAUCGUAUCUUUCUCAUUUACUUAGUUGUUCGAUGUGUCUUGUUAUUUUGUUGCCGUUAUUUUUUUUGUUUUAAUUUUGUUUUGAUUACAUCUUUUUUUAGUCAAUGUAUAUCCAAAAAGACCUCUCUAUCCUACAAAGAUAGGACUAAGAUCUGUCUACGUCGUAACCUUCUUUAGUUACUUAAGAGAUUACACCACAUAUGUAACUGUUGAUUUAAUUAUUAUUUUUUACUAUGUAUAUCAUUUGGCUAUUAACCUCCUUUGUCUCUUGAAUUUUCAAAAUUUAGAAUCAAAAUACAAUGCCUGUUAGAUAUAAUUUAAGUUGAAUCUAACUGUCUUUGUCAAAGGGUAUUAGAUUCAGUUGAACUCGUUACUUUUAUUCUUCGUCGGUCUACACAUGGUUAAGUUGAAUCUAUUAUAUCUAUCAAAUGUAUUUGAUUCAAUUGAACCCGUAAAAUUUAUUCUUCUUCCUCCUACUUAUACUUUGAGUUGAGUCUACUGUCUUUGUCAAAAGUAUAAGAUUCAGUUGAAUUCGUUACUUUCAUUCUCCAUCUACCGAUACAUAGCUUGAAUUGAUUUGUCUGUCACCGUCAAAAGUAGUCUGUCUCCGUCAAAAGUAUUAGGUUCAGUUGAACUUGUUAACUUUUAUUCUUCAUUCGCCUACUUAAAGUUUAAGUUUUUUUUUGUUGUCUUUGUCAAAAGUAUUAGAUUCAGUUGAACUCGUCCUUUUUUAUUCUUCAUCCACCUUUUUAUAGUUUGAGUUAAAUCUAUUGUCUCUAUCAAAUGUAUUAGGUCCAGUUGAAUCCAUUACUUUUAUUCUACGUUUGCCUACACAUGAAUCUUUUUGUCAAAAGUAUUAUAUUCGGUUGAACAUUAUUUUCAUUCUUCGUCCACCUACUUAUAGUUUUCAUUGAAUUUGUUACUUCUAUUCUUUGUGCACCUCCACAUAGUUUGAGUUGAUUUUGCUAUCGUAUGUUGUCGUAUUAGAUUCAGUUGAAUGUGUUACUUCUAUUCUUCGUCCACCUUGACAUAAUUUAAGUUGAAUUUGUUGAAAUCACUCUAAAUUUGCCUCAACUAUUUUUUCAACUAGUUGCCCAGUUCCACCAGUGAGCAAUGCAGAUGAAGUGCCCCAUUCAGUACGAGAAACACCUAAAAGUUUGUUCCACAAGAAGACAAAACUUGUGCAUACACCUGUGACAGAUCUGUUGUUCCAUUUACAUCUAGGGAUCUGGUCCCUUGUAACUAGAUGUUCAUUAUCAAAACUAUAUACAACAAUUUUCCCCCUUUUUGAUGAUGACAAACCAACCAUAUAACUUCGAGCACCAAUACACAUCGAUCACAUUUAAUCAGUGUGAUUACCACUCUAGAGAAGAAUGUUACACCUAUUAUUAUGCUUCCACCAUCAUCCAAUACAGGGACCUAGUCCCUUGUUGUCCUUUGUGGUAAAAACUUAUGAGCACAUGUUUGAUUCCCCUAUCACUAUUGUUAUUUAUAGCACAUGUUUUGCUCUCCUCAUCACUGUGCCUUACCAUAUCAGUAACAUGAGCACACAUACCCCUGAUCCUCACAUAUAAAAUUAGUAUUCCCCUUUUUAGCAUCAUUGAAAAGGAUUAACAGUAAAUCAAGAGUAAAUAUAAGUACAAGCUAAUUAACUCAUGGUCGUUGAGGCGACACUAACAUGAAGAAUAGCUUUAAAAUAAAGAAAAAAUAAUUAGCUUUAACAUUUCAGUAAUUAGGAUAAAUACCAUAAAAAUAUACCAAAAAAAUUAUAAAAAGUAUUGUUUGCAAAUGCCACAAUAGAAACUGACUCAGGAAGUUGACACACUAGGACUCAGGUAGAAGGGGCUUUAGGGGAGAGAGAUUUUAGCAACAUGUCCAUUCCAGCAGCCCCAGCAUCAUGAGCAUCCAGUAAUUGUUUGGUGAGAGUUCUUACUUUAACAUCAGUCCUUGGAUUUCACCAGUCAACUCUGCAAUUUUGGCCUUGAGUUUUUCAUUUUCUGGUGUAAGUUUUUCAGUGGUACCAGGUCCCUUAGAGACUUUCUUUAUUUUGAUAGCAAUAUGCUUCGUUUUGCUUAUAGAAGGACUACUAGACUUUGGACCAGAGGACCUGUUCCUCUCAGCAACAUGAACUUGUUGUAUUUUAUUCUUAGUUACAAUUACAAUAUUAGUGUCAGUAUCCUCAUCUGACCCAUCCCCCACUACUUUAAUAUUUACCUCCUUAACUGUGAGAACUUUCUUGUGUCUUCUUCUUUAGGUGGUAGAGGACUUACUUUUCUUUGUGGCAUCAACUAGUAAUAUUUGUCCAGAUCCCCUAGUGGAAUAAGAUCUAGUGCCUUGUACACCAGUGUCAAUCAUUUUCUCUUUUCCUUUACUGUCCUUAAGUUUCUUCAUUUUCCAAAUCAGAUAUUGUUCAUCAUCAUCCUUUUUAUUUUCCUAAUUUAGGGAGAAUGCAAACUCUCUAUCCUCUUUAAACUCAUCUUUUUCUCCUGUUAUUUGAUCUUCCCCACUAGCAAAACCUUCCUUGGGGUCAUUUCCAAGUAAAAGUAAAUUUUCAGCUACCAAAUUUAUGCUGAUGAGAGAAUCAGAUUUCUUUACAAGAAUCUUUUCAUCAAUCAGAUUAGCAAAUAUAGAGUUUGACUCAAAAAGUGUAGGAGAACCCGGUCCUUGUAAAUUAUCCAAAAUUUCAGUAUCUUUCAAUUCCUCGGAGGGAACCUGGAUUUGAGGGGCAUUGCAAGACUCUGAUUUUUCUGAGGAAUGAGGUCCUUCAGAUUGAAGAAUUUUUUGCUCUAUUAGAGAUCCAUAACCUUUGUUUAGGUUAUCUAUUUUGACAGAACAUUCACUGGGGCUUAGAUUUUUGGCUGGAACAGUUUCACUUAGGGUCUCAAGAAUGUCAUGGGAAGGACUGAUGAGUGACACUCUUUGUGGCUCUUGAUAAUGAUCAGAGGUUAUCUUUCAUGGGGAUUGAAGAGGAGGAAAUUUUAGACAUUUUGAGAUUUUUUAAGAUGAAAAAAGAAGGUACCAGUUUUGAGUUAAUUGAGAAGAGAAUGAAUAAAGUGGAAUUGAAUUUAUAAUUUAAAAGAUGAUUGUUUGAUAUAUAAGAGAUACCUUCUUAAAAUAAUGUAUCUGAUGACAACGGUUGUAACUCUUAAUAUUUAAACCAAAUUGAGAGCUUUUGUUCAUAUGGGAUUGGACAAGUAGCCCUUUUAAAAUAGAAAUUUUAUAAAAAAAAUUAAGGCAUAUUAUUUUGGUACUCACUUAAGUGAUAGGACCAGGUCCCUCUCUUUCUUGAGUGAAUUUUAAGCUUGUGAUUGCAUCAACUAUUUUUUCCCAAAGCUGAACCCAUGGAUGUAUACCUGCAAAGGUAUGGUACUGAGUUAGAUUAACAUGCACUUACAUUAUCAUAGAUACCUGUCUCCUUGACAUAGCAAAUUUUGAGAAGUAACACUGACUCAGAUGUUAGGUCAGGGCAUUUUGAUCAAGCUCAGUCUCAAUUUGAUCUUUUAGAACAGGUUUGAGGGCCAAGCUCUAGAUUUUUUCUUUACUCAUACUGCCUCAAGUUUCUUCUUUUAGGAUGAAUUCCUUUGGACCCAGGUCCCUUGUAAUCAUCUCUUACAAAGUGAGACAUUUUCACGUUGAAGUGUCUUGAGAGUGAGAAUUUAAUCAGAUCUUUAAAAAUUGAGUAUACAACACAACUAUUAACAGACAUUUCAUGACUGUAAUUCCCCUUCUCAUACCUGAAUUCAUGAUAACAAGUUGGAUUUGGGAAUCCACUUAAGUUUGAGUUUUCAAAAAGAAGACAAUGGUGCGAUCAAAACUUUCUUGGCCCAUUUAGGUAGAGAAUUGUUCCUCACAUUUUUCAGAGGUUUGAACUCCUUAUGUUGUGUACUCUCCUGAUGAAUAUAUCUGAAAUUAUUAAUUCUAGAUCUUAUCCAUCUCUAACAACUUGCCUUAAUAUGCUCAUCCUUUUCACAAUAAGUACACAUAGGAAUGAAAACCUUAUUUCUACCACCAUUGACAGUCUUUCCUUGCCACCCAACAAGUUGGAAUUCUCUUUGAUAGCCCAGUCCUUCGCCAUAAUUAACACCCUGACUAAAUAGUUCAGGAAGGAUCUAUGAAUAAGCAUUCCAUUUAACAGACUUGUUCAACUCUUCUCUUAAGCGGACCAGGUCCUUUUUUAACUUUUCAUUCCUGUAAAGUGCAGUAAAGAAUUUUUGGGAAUCUUCCAAUCUUUCCUUAAGAUUAACUUGAAGCCUUAAAGCUACUUUCUUCCCUUUUCCAUCUACAUCAUUUAUUUUCUAUAGAUUACUUAUCAAACUUAGAUUUUUAGAUUUCAUCUCAGUAGUUAGUUCACAUACAAAGUGUAUCAACAGACUCGCAAGCCUUUAUAUUUUUCUAGCCAUGUAAUUAUCGAGAUUCUCCUUAAUAUCAGAUAGUUUUACCAUUUUUUCAUCCUCUAUGUCUGCUAUGAAUGUAAAUAAGGAAUCACAGAUAACUGGACUAUCUUUCACUACGAGCAUAGAAACAUUUCCUAUCUUCUCAUCUUCACCUGAAUCACUGGAAUAGUCUCCCCAUCCUGCUAAAGCUUGCUUUACUACAUAACCAACUGCACCCUUUCUUCUUGAUCUUUUAGGUACCUGGUCCCUUAACUUUCCCUUGCUACCUGUAGCUUUAAGGUAAUCCUUAUAGUCCAUUUUGUGUAUUGGACAAUCCUUAAUGAAAUUCUCAGGAAUUCCACAUUCGUGACACACCUCAACAUUACUUCCUUUCUUGCUACUGUUUCCUCUUCUUUAAAACUGACCACUCUUCUUCAUGCCCUAACAAUCCUGCUUUCCAGAUAGGCAACUUCAAUGUCUUCAUCAUCAGAAUCAUGUUUAGAAGCCUUCAAAGCUAGGGAUUUUUAUAUUUUUACUUCCUUCUUCUCCAUUUUUUGCUUCAGUUAUGGCAUCUACCUUGCUUUUCCAGGACUUAGGAAGAACACCAAGAAUUUUUCUCUCUUGUUUGUACAAAGAAAUCACUUCUCUUAGGCAAUGAAGCUCAUUUGUAAUAGAAGUUAUCUUGUAUGCAUCUCUUGGAUUGUUUCUCCUUUUUUCGUAAUGAAGGUCUCAUACUGAGUAGUUAGCAUGUCUACUUUUGAAUCUUUCACAUCACAAGUACCUUCAUGAGCGGUCCUCAAAAAAUUCCAGAUCUCCUUAGCACUUUCACAAGAAGAAAUUUUGUUGUAUUCAUCAUGCCUUAUACCACAAACCAACAGCUUCUUGGCUUUGUAAUUUUUUUCAAUCCUUCUUUUAUCUUGAUCAUUGAACUCUUUCCUGCUUAUGACAACAAUUCUUGUAAUUCUCAUUCUUUAACUUCUCUAACAAGAACAUGAGAACCAUCCAGAAGUAUGUCCAUCAGCUCACUAUCUUCAGCCUUAAUGAAGUCAAACAUCCUGGUUUUCGACCACCCAUUGUACUGCUCAUUAAAUCUAGGUGGCCUAGUGGUAGAUUUCCCUUCUUCCUGAUUAGGUGGAGCCACCAUGAUAGCCAAAUCACUCUAGGUAUGAACUUUUUAGAGUGCUUUGUCUUAAAUAUCAAUUGUUGAAACCCUGAGGGUUGCACCACACAGUGAGGGCCAGGUCCCUUAAAGUCAAUCAUAGACAAAAACUAUUAAAAUAACCACCAAUCAAAGAAUAGUGCAGGAAGAGUAAAAACACAAAAUUUUAACGUGAAAACCCCCUUUGUUCAAGGAAGGAAAAAACCAUGGCUUGCCCUCACAAGUACUUCAAAAUCCACAAUGAUCAAAAUCUUGAUUACAGCCUUCAUUGAACUUAACUCUAGGUUCCUUUCGUGUGUAAUAACUCUAUUACAAGCUCAUCUUGACAACUCUGUCAAGGAACCUCUACACUGAUUAACUCUAAUAAGUAUCAAGCUUGAGACAACUCUACCUAAGCACUUCCCUCAUCAAUGAAAAACACUACUCUUAUAGCAUGAGUAAUUCAAUUACAAAUCAGAUCUCACACAAGAACAGUUCCUAAUUAAGCACACAUAAUCUGCUAAGAACUUGAGCAGUGCUGAAAAAUGGAGUUUUUGUUGCCUCUCUUUACUCUUUGUAAUUGCAAAAAUUGUUUGAUAAAGAAGCAUUUUUUCUUUUAUAGAUGAGUGAUGAUUAGGACCGACAAAAGAUUGGUCCAGGUGUCCCAUUUAGUACGAUCAACACCUGCAAGUUUGUUACAUAAGAAGACAAAGCUUGUGCAGACACGCAUGCCAGCUAUGUUGUACCAUUCACAUCAAGGGACCUGGUUCCUUGCAGUUAGCUGCUCAUCAUCUAUAUAGAAAUACGGAUUGACCGAACCCUUAAUUUCACUGCCAGUGCUGCAGCUUUUUGCACCUCCGUUAUGUUCACUUUUAAGUCUUGUGAUAAUAUAUACAUAUAUAAUGAAUUUUUUUUAUUACUUUGAAGCUAGUUAAGAAUACAAUGUCAAUUUUCAAUGCACAUAUCUUACUUGCUCACACACCAAUAAAUACACACAUAUCUUGAUAUUUUUCAUGUAAACAAAAAUAAAUCUUAAUUUUAUUUAUAACAAAAAGAGCAAGAAAAACUCGUACGAAAAUGGAGUCAUGAUUUCAACUUUAUGGAUUUUGAAAUUUAAAAUAAUGACUUCAGUUGUCAAUAAUUGGAUACUACAUUUAAUAUUUUCACUUUUUUUGUGAACUAGUAAGUUCAAAUACACUCUUUGUACAACAUCUAGAUUAUGCGUCUCUUAUUAAAGACUUAAUGCAUGACAAAAAAGAGCACAAUUCAUAUCAUAUCUAACUUAAGAAGAUGCAUGCUGUCCCUCAUAUCAUUAAAAUAUACUUCAAGGACUCAAAAAAAUCAGAUCUAAUUUGAUUGAACAAAAUUAGAACUUUAUAAAAAAAAAAUGCAUAGAAAUCCAUUACUCAAUUACACUAAAAAGGCAAUACAUACUUUGCAAAAUCAUUUCUGUAAUAUCCCGAGACUCUAACCAAGUGCAACCAUGACUCAAGCUCAUGAGAAGUAAAUUAUAGUGCUUUGGCUAUUUUCUGAUCAAGGAUGAUGUGUAUUAAGGCCUCAAAGAUGUCCUAGCAAUUAGGUGAAUCAAAACAUUCCUUACCGAUUGAAUUCUUGGGAACGAUAUUGCCAUAUUCAACUUUAAAUGAGCAUAUCUCUUAUUAUAAUACGAAUUAUUGAGCUCAUGACCUACCAAAAGAUAGAUAAUUGAAUUAAAUUUCCAACUAUACCAAUUUCACUAAAAUGCGGUAUCGGAUCCAAGAUUUAUGCCCAUUUUACUCCAGCAUAUAAGGCUGGAAAACUAAGUGACGACAUUUUGUGAUAAGCUGUCACAAGUGUGACGACUUAUCACCAAUGUCGUCAGCCUUAGGAAGAUUUCCACCCCCAGUGAAGACAUUUUGUGAUAAGUUGUCACAAGUGUGAUGACUUAUCACCAAUGUCGGAAAUGAUGACUUGUCACAAGUCUGAUGACUUGUCACGAAUGUCGUUAGCUAUUUUUUUCAACAAUUAAAGGACAUUUUUGCAUGGGUAUUUUGGUCUUUUCCAUCUUUUGGAGGCCCCUAUAUAUAUAUAAAUUCCCAUCUAAACCCUAAUUUCUUCAUUCUCUCUUCCAAUUCUCUUAAGAAAUAUAUCUAGGGUUUUUAUUUAAGGACAUUAAUCUUCCAAAAAUCAUCCAUAAAUCUUCAAGAUUUCUUCAAGAAUCAAGUUCCUCAUAGUGUGGGCUCCAAGAAUCAUUUAUUACAAGUGCAGAUAAAGUCUCAAGCUCUAGAAUUCAUCCAAUUUCAAAAAUUAAGGUAUGUGGGGUUUUGAACAAGAGCAAUUCAUUCGUUCUUGUGCCCAAAGCUUUGAUUUCUAUCAUGGACUUAUAUGAUUUUGCAAGUGGGUUUAUACCCAAAUUACUUCAUCAUGAGAUUAUGAGAAUAUAAAUUGUUCAAGCUUUGUUAUACAUGAUUAUUUUGCUAUUCCCAAGUUAUGACUUGAUGUUUAAUAUUGUGAAUUUCAUAUUUCUACCAUGAGUUGAUAUUUGACGUGCUUUCAAGAUAUGUGUCAAGCUUUAAGCUUCCUUAUGAAUGACAAACUAGAUUAUUGAGUAUAUUGAUUCAUAAGAUUGAGUUGUUACAAUGAGUCUUGAUAUUUCCUCAAAGUUAUUGAUGUUGUCAUGAUUUAAUGAAUUGAUACAUUUUGAUAUUGAGAAAGAUUGAUUUGAUUUGAGUCGAGUUAGGAAUCCACAAAUUGAUUAUGAUUUGAUAAAUGAGAAAGAGAUUUGAUUUGGUCUUCAUGAUAGAUCCUUGUGAUAUUUGUGGUGGAUUUCCUAACGCGUUCUGAGCUUGUUUCUGGGAGUAGUAUUUAGCACCGAGCAGGAAAUGUGGUAUUUCCCCAAAACUACGUGCCACUGUAGGAUUGAUAUUGAUAAUUAUGGGCCAGAGGCUGAGUAUGAGAUUAUGAUCACUAUGUUUUGGUUGUACUCCCUAGCAAGAGUACGACGCUCCCGCCAAUGUGGGAUUCUGUCCUUAGGAGGGAAAAACAUUGGAAUCCAUGUAGCUUACAUGGUUUAUGUCGGUUAUAAGAACCUUCCAUAUCCAUAAGAGUUGAGUUUCUUGAAUUAUCGAGUCACUCCGAGUCUUUACUUGAAGAGUCGAGUUGUUUAUGAUUAUUUAUGAGGGUUUUAUCAUAUGAUUUAUUUACUAUGAGAUCAUGAAAAGUAUGUUUCAAUCUAACUCAAUCCAAGUGAGCUAUCAUUGUACAUAUGCAUAUUUUUUUUAAAUUGAUGAUGAUAUUUGCAUUGUUACAUGCACCCCCACAUACUUAGUACAUUCCAAAGUGUUGACCCACAUAUAAUCCUAUGGACUACAUUUUCUCGUAAUGCAGGUUCAGGUACUCAGCUACAGCCGUGUUAGCGAUAUUCGAGUGCCUCAACUACGUUCCCCCAGUGGUGAGUCCUCAUAGUUUGAGGACUGUGUCUAUAUUUUUGGUGAUAUCGUUCUGUUGUUACGGCUUUCAGUACUGUUUGAGUCAGUUGGGGGUUUGUCCCAGUGGCUUCUUGAUUUUUAUUUAUAGAGGCUUUGUCAGACUAGAGGGUUGGUAUGUAUAGACAUUCAAUAUAUUUUGGUUGUACAGUCUAGUAUUCUCCAGUAUUUCUCAUGAACCCGAUGUGGUAUAUCUCUUUGUUAUACAUGACUAUUGUUGAAUUGAAUUUCUCGAGGUAGUGUCUGGCUCCGAGGGUUAGCUUGGGGCUACGUGUAGCCCUAAGCACCGUAUGGCAUCUUGGGAUGAAAUUUUGGGGCAUUAAAAUUUCCCCUAAUCGAUCGUGGUGAAGUCAAAAACAGAUUCAUCAAAUCAUACACCUUACGCUACGAUUGAUAUGAGAAUGAGUUGAGUUUUAUGAAAAAGAUGAGACGGAAUUUUAUUACUCUAAGGAAAUUAAAUUAUGUUGCUGAUAAGAGGGCGGGGAGGAAUUUGAUGUUACAAAUUUGGUGAUUUUAGGAGAUGUGCAUAAUCACUUGAUGCGUUUCUGACCCAGAAGGGAUGAAAAAUGAAAGAACUUGUGUGCACUUUCUAUGGAGUGGAGUGUACUAUCAUGCCUUUAUUUAUUUUUUAAGUAAAAAAAAAAGAACCUUAAAAGAAAGAGACAAAAAUCUUAAUACCUAGAACAUAACGCCUAGACUGUAACGCUUAGAGCAUAACACCUAAAAUGUAACGCCUAUAUAUAUACUCUUCACAUAUAUUAUGAAGAGUUAACUAAUCAAAUCUUUGUAAUCGAUUUUGGAUUCUACUUUCUCUCACCCUAUACCAAAUUCAACUUGAAGAAAUGAAAAACAAAAGAUAUUAAGUUUUGUUUUAUAUAUAUCUACUGUCACUAAUAGAAAUUGCAAACUAAGUUUUAUGUUUUAGAUAUAAAACAAAACUUAGUAUUCUUUGCUUUUCAUUGCUUCAAGUUUAAUUCGAUAUAGAGUGAGAGAAAGUAGAAUCUAAAAAGGAUUACAGAAAUUCGAUUAGUCAACUCUUCACAAUAUAUGUGAAGAGUAUAUAUAUAGGCAUUAUAUUUUAGGUGUUAUACUUUAAGUGUUACAGUGUAAGCGUUAUAUUUCAGGUUGUAAGAUUUUUGUCUCUUUCUUUUUUAGGUUCUUUUUUAAAAGUAAAAUAAAAAAUAAAGGUAUGAUAGUACACUCCACUCAUAGACCGUGCACACCAAUUCUUCUUUCAUUUUUCAUUUCUUUUGGGUCAGAAACACGUCAAGUGACUGAGCACCUCCCUUAAAGUCAUCAAAUUUGUAACAUCAAAUUCCUCUCUGUCCUCUUCUCAGCAACAUAAUUCUAUUUCCUUAGAACAAAAAAAACCCAACCUCAUCUUUAUCUUAAAACUCACCUCACUCUCAUAUCAAUCCUAGCUUAAGGUAUAUGAUUUGGUGAAUCUAAUGUUGACUUCACCACGAUUGAUUAGGUGAAAGGAUUUUGCAAAGUAUGUUUUGCUUUUUUAGUAAAAUUGAGUAAUGGAUUUCUGAGCAUAUUUUUUUUGAUAAAGCUUUAUUUUUGUUCUAUCAUAUUAGAUUUGAUCUUUUUAAGAUCUUGAAGUAUAUUUUAAUGAAAUAAUGGAUACCAUGCAUCUACUUAAAUUAGAUAUGAUAUGAAUUGUCCUCUUUUUUGUUAUGCAUUGAGUCUUUAAUCGGAGAUGCAUGAUCUAGGUAUUGUACAAAGAGUGUAUUUGAAAUUAGAAAUUCACUAAAUAUGUGCAAAUAUUAAAUGUUGUACCUAUUAUUGGCAACUGAACUCAUUAUUUUUAAAUUCAAAACCCAUAAAGUUGAAAUCGUGACUACAUUUUUGUGCAAUAUUUUCUUGCUCUUUUCAAUAGAACUACUACUAGGUAGCAUUAUAUUAAGCUAAUUAUUUUAGUUUUUACCUCUAUAUUCUUUAAAAGAAAAUUAUUUAAGUGUAUGGGUGGUUAAAUUUUACUAAUGAAUGGCCCAUAAAUUGAUAAUUCAACCCAAUUUUUACUCAUUUAGUUUCAUGGAUUGUCUACCCAAUUGAAAGGUCUUCACUUUUUGUUAUGUAUUAAACUUGCAUCCAAUGGCAGAACCGCAUUAUGGCUGAACCCCCUUCGGUGAAAAAAUUAUACUAUUUUUAUAUGGGGAAAAUUAUUUUUUUUAUAUAUAUAAUUGAUGUUGAAACCCUGCGGUUAAUUCGUGUGCCAACAUUUUUCGAUUUUGAACCCUCUUGCUGAAAAUUCAGGCUCCGCCACUGCUUGUAUCUAGUGAGGCAUAGAUUCUUUAAGGAUGUUGAGAAUUAGUACAGUAACAAAAACAAUUGGGAUUGGGAGGUAAGUGUAAGCAGCCCAUACCACUAUCUCAGAUGUGAGAUAGAUAGGUUAUUUCUGAAAGACCCCCGGAUCAAAACAAAACAAUCUAGACAAGGAAUAGUAAAAGAACAAAAUACAAUAGAAAUCAACAUAUCCAAUAAUACCAUAAACAAGAUACAUCAAGUAAUACAACAUCCUAAACUCAUACUAACCUUCUACUCUAAUGUGUCUCCUCCAUAACUUCGUAUCUAGGUUCAUAUCCUCGAUAGGUUGGAGUUGCUCUAUGUCAUGUCUAAUCACCUUUCUCCAAUAUUUCUUCGAUCUACCUCUACCUCGCUAGAAACCAUCCCCACACUUGCUACUGGGAAUCUGUGCCCCUUCUCAUCAUAUGACCAAACCAUCUCAACCUUGUUUCCCUCAUCUUGGCUUUCACUGAAGUCACUCCUACCUUAUCUCAGAUAACCUCAUUUCUAAUACUAUCUUUUCUAGUACACCCACACAUCUACCAAAGCAUUCUCAUCUCCGCUACCUUCAUUUUCUGGAUGUGGGCCUUCUUAAAAGGCCAGCACUCUGCCCCAUAUAAUAAAAUCAGUCUAACUACCACUCUAUAAAAUUUUCCUUUAAGUUUAGGAGGUACCUUUUUGAUACACAAGAUUUUGGAGGCGAGCUUCUACUUCAUCCACCCUACCCUAAUCUAUAAGUGACAUCUUCGUCAAACUCUCCAUUCUCCUAAAUCAUAGACCCUAUAUACUUGAAACUAUAUCUCUUAUUGAUAGAAUGAGUAUCAAGAUUAACAACCAUAUUAGACUCAUGCUACACCUCACUAUACUUAUACUCCAUAUAUAUCGUCUUGGACCUACUCAACCUAAAUACAUUAGACUCAAGGGUUUGCCUCCGAACCUAUAAUUUAGUAUUUACUCCACUACAUGCCUCAUCAAUCAAGACCAUAUCAUUCAAAAAAAGCAAACGGUAAGGCACCUCACCUUGAAUUUGCCACAUCAAAACAUCCGUUACUAAGGUAAAAAGGAACGAACUAAGCAUCAAUCCUUGGUGUAACCCCAUCAAAAUAGGAAAGUGCUCCAAGUACCCUCUCCUAGUCCUAACCCGAGUCUUCGAUCCAUUGUACAUUUCCUUAAUCGCCCUAACAUACACCAUAGGUACACCUUUAGCCUCUAAACACCUCAAAAGAACCUCCCUAGAAACUCUAUCAUAAGUUUUCUCUAAGUCAAUAGACACUAUGUGCAAAUCCUUCAUUCUUUCCCUAGUCCAUCAGUCUCCAAGCGAGAUGGAUGGAUUUAUUAGUUGAGCAUAUUGACAUAAAUACAAACUAAUUUUCAGAAAUAGUAACGUUCCUCUACAACCUCAAUAUACCCCUAUAAUUAUUGCAAUCCUGAAUGCCACCCUUACUCUUAUACAAUGGAAUCAUCUACUCCACCUCCAAGCUUCAGGCAUCCUUGUCGUCUUGAAAAUUAUGUUAAACAACUGAGUCAACCACUCUAUUCCUGCCCCUCCUGUGCACUUCAAAAAUCCAUGGGAAUCUCAUCUAGCCCCAUCACUCUACCUCUACACAUCCAACGAAUAUCCUCCUUAACCUUUUCAAACUUAAUGCACCGCCAAUAACCAUAAUCGCAAAACCUUUUGGAAUGCUCCAAAUCCCUUAACACAAUGCUAGUAUCCCUUCUUUUAUUCAGGAGCUCAUGGAAGUAAGACUGUCAUCUCUUUCUAAUACGACCCUUCUCCACCAAAACUUUGUUGCCCACAUCCUUAAUACACUUCACUUGAUCAAGGUCCAGAGCCUUUCUGUCCCUAACCUUAGGUAGCCUAUACAACUUUUUUUCCCGAACUUUACUAUCUAACGUUGUGUAUAAACUCUCGAAAGCAGCAUCCUUAGCCAUCGGGACCGCUAACUUCACCUUUCUCCUAGCAAUCUUAUACUCCCAAUUUUUCCAUUUAUCCUCUUCAUCCUUACUCUCGGCAAACUUUGCAUAUGCUUUCUUCUUAGCCUCCACCUUCUUCUUCACCUCUUCAUUCCACCACCAGCUCCCUUGGUGUUUGCUCGAGAGGCCUCUCGAGACACCCAACACCUCUCUAGUUGCCUCCCUGAUACAACUGGCAAUCUUAUCCCAUAUACUAUCAGCAUCCCCUCCACUCUCCCAAGCCUUCCCCUUCAUCUACUUAUCCCUUAUAUCCAGUGCACUAGCCAAAGUCAGAUUGCCCUAUCUAAUACUUAGAUGAUCCUCCAUACCUCUUCUUCUCCGUUCCUUUAUGAUCUCCAAGUCCAUCACCAAAAGCCAAUAUUGGGUCAAAAGAUUCUCAUUCGAUAAGAUGUUACAGUCUUUACAAAUACUUCUAUAUCCUUUCCCAGGGAGUAAAAAGUCAAUCUGGGUCUUGGCUAUUGAAUUACGGAAGGUACCAAGUGAACCUCCUUCUUGGGAAAGUUUGAAUUAACUACCUACCACCAAUCCAAAUGCCCGAGCAAAAUUCAAAAGUGACACUCCUUCGUCAUUCCAUAUACCAAACCCACAGCCUUUAUGCACAUCAUCAUAACCCCUUGAAGAAGACCCUAUGUGCCCAUUGAAAUCCCCUCCUAUAAAAGCCUUAUAAUUACUAGGGACAUCUCUCACCAUCUCGUCCAAAGCCUCCCAAAACCUUUUCUUCUCAUCCUCAUCCAAGCCUAUAUGCGGCGCAUAUGCACUAAUAAUAUUCCAAGAAGACUCUCCAAUAACUAGUUUAAUUGAUAUCAUCCUAUUGUCGACCCUCUUAAACUCUAGGAUACCUACACCAUUCCUGUUCCUCACGCUUCCUGAGUACCACAACUUAUAACCAUCUAGUACCCUCGCCUUAGUACCUACCUAUUUGGUAUUUUUGAGACAAGCUAUAUUAAUUCAAUUUUUUUCUAAGAAUUUUCACUAGCACUAAUGAUUUCUCUAAUAAAGAACAUAUUUUCCACGAUCCUACUCUCAACUUACAACCACCUUUAGCCCUUUUACCCUUCCUUCUCCCUACCCUACCCCGACCCCAACCCCAGCUCCACCCAAAGACAUGGCCCUAAGUCAAGACCAUUUUCCAAAACCAUCAGAGACUAGAGACUGCACCAACCAAUAGCACUAAGAGCACACAUUCUAGACAAUAAUGUAAACCAAAAAUGUUACUAUCAAGCCCACACUACAGAACUACUAAGGACAAUAAAAAUAAAUAAAACGCAAGUAGAAUUAACAAGUAAAUCACUACUAUGAAAUAUAGAAAUAAAUAAGUAAAUUGUCAUCCAUAGACAAGAUAGUCAGCGAAGGCGCGAAGAUAAAAGGGAUUGAAGUACAAAUAGUACACAAGACAGACAGUAGCAGCCACUAGAAUCAAGAAAGCUAUACACACGACUUGAAGAGAUGGAGUGAGUGCACUUGAUUGAAGUUGGGUCAAUUUGCUUGGUCGAGUCAUCAAAUUUUGAUAAUUUACAAUAAAAAUUGGUUGCAGAAAUCUUGACGUCACCGUUUGAGAAGAGGUGUCAGAUCUGGACUUGUAGUACCUGUAAAGGGAUAGAAAGAAAAGAGAAGAAAGUUAUGGUCGCACGAGAAGUGAGGAAAAACAAUGAUUAGUUUCACUGGAAACUAGCGUCACUUGUCGAAAACUGAUAGGUCGCUAGUCUGACGAGAAGCCGCUAAAGUUUAGUGGUCGACACAAGAAGUGAGAGAAAUAAUGACAAUCCGCUUAUCCAAAAACUGACGUCACUCGACGAAAACUGAUGAGUUUGUUGGGUCGUAGAGAUGGGAUUGAAUCUUGGAUGGACAGAAGAAUUAACCGGAGUAAAGUCGCAGGUAACCAGUAGGAGUUGACCACGACGACGAUUAAAUAGAUGGACAAUGGAAGGAGUCGACCACGACAAUUGCCAUUUGUUUCAAAUCCAAAGUUGAGCAUUAGUACAAUUUUUGGAAAAUAUUUACAGAAGAUUUCUGCUCUUAACGGAAGAGCAAUUAACUCCAAUAAGUAAUGACAAUAUUUAAUGUGAGUUUAACGGGGUUAUAUUAGUCAAUCUGCACUCCUUAUUAAUUUCUCCUUAAGAGUUGUACAAAAGACAAACAUGUCAAGUAAUAUGACAUGAAGGGAAUGAUAUAUAACACAUAACUUGUUGAUUAUGUGAAAAUAUAAACUUAUGCUCCUCGGAAAAUCAACUUGCUUUGAGUGGCAAAUAUUAAAUGCCAACAAAAAGAAAAGAAAAAUCUUAUUUAGAGGUCUCGAGUACAAGUUUCUAAAAAAAAAUUCCUCUUAAAAGCAUUGUUCUAGUCUCCUAGAAAUGGACCUUGUUGUGCUCAAAUUCUUGACAAAAGUGACCCUAAAAUGUGCAAAUUCAAAUUUAAUCGAAUCCCAAAAUAAAGAUGAUGGUUCAGGUGAAAAAAAAAGAAAUAAUUGAUAGUUGGAAUGUGAAGCUUGUGAAAAAGUAAUAGUUUAGGUGAUUUUUUGACCAUUAAUUCUUAAGAGAAACUAUAUCAAGUGUGUUUUUCAAGCCAAGUAUCGAGCUUGUGAACUCUCAUUGCUUUAGGGUGUGUUUGGUAUGAAGGUAAAAUAUUAUCCACAGAAUUAUUAUUUCAAGAUUAUUUAUACAUUAUUUAGCAAAAAGCUCUAGAAGUGGGAUGGGUUAGGGUGUGGGGUCUUGAGGUUGAUGGGGUGGGAUGGUCAAGGGCAGAGGUAUCAAAAUGAACCCAAAUUGAGCUAACCUGUCCAACCCGUCCAAUAUUUAAUGGGUUGGGUUCAAGAUAAUUUACUAUUGAGUAAAUCUCAACUCAUUUUUAAAUUGGGUUCAAAUGAGCCCAAUCAAUCUCCACUUCAACCCGUUUGAUAAAAAAAAUAAUUUUCUUAAUGAAAGUAAGAAAAACAAGAAAUAAUAUGUCCUCCUACUCUCAAAAAGACCCACCACACCUCAUCCCCACCUCACCCCAACCCCACUACACCCCUAGCUUACCCUACUCACCCUGCCUCCAUUAACUAUAUUAUUUUUAAUUCUUAAAAAGUUUUUAUAAAUAUUUUUGCCCCCACCCCACCUAAACCAUUGCCCUCCCUACCCAGACUCCCACCCUCACCCCCUCCUCCACCCAAAAAAUUAAUUAUUUUAAUUUUUUUUUUUAAAAUUAACAAUCUUUUCUUACCUCACGAUCAAAAUCCUACCCUCUCCCCUUCGCCGCAUCCCCUACUCCUCCCAAAAAAAUUAUUUUUGUUGGGCUUGGGUGGGUCAAGGCCCAACCCAAUUUUUACCCAUUUCAACCCAAAAUAAAUUUGGGCGGGUCAUGACCUAACCCAGUAUCCAAUUCAACUCAUUUAAUAUUUUCAGUCUCAACCCAAUCCGCCCAUUUUCCCCAUGGCAUACCCCUUUCUCAAAAAGUUAUUUUUAAAAAAAAAAUCAAUCAUUUUUUUAAAAAAAAUUCUUACCUCUACCCAUCCUAACCCCCAACCUCCCGGUGCACCCCUCCCCAAAAAAUAAAUUUUUAUUUUUUUAAAAAUUAAAUUUUUAUUUUUAACUAAGUGGGUCAAAUUGGGCGGGUCAAGGUCCAACCCAAUUUUUAUCCCUUCCAACUCAACCCAAAGUGAAUUUGGGCGGGUCAUGACCCAACCCAGUAUCCAAUUCAACUCAUUUAAUAUUUUCAAUCUCAAUCCAUCCCACCCGAUUGACACCCCUAGUCAAGGGGUAGGGGUUGGUGGUAUUAAAUAGAGGACAUAAUAAACACAGAAUGCCACUUGUAGAACUUGUUUUUCCUACUUCCAUUAAGAAAAUUAUUUUCCUCAUUUUUAAGCAUCUUUUUUUACUAGCCAAGUUCUUCCGACUAACUUUUUGGAAAGAAUGUAGUUAAUUGAGGAGGCAGAGAGUAGUGUUAGUGUUGUCAUGUGGUUCGUUAUAUUGAAGUGUCAGCAGUGAUCUAGUAACAAUGAUGAUCUAUUUCUUUUAUUUUUGACGAAAGUUGGUAAUUGUGUAGGAUUCGAAAAAUCUUCAAUUUACGAUGCACAUUAAUAUACCCUCUUAAACUAUCUAUCUAUAGCAAAUGAGCUUCGGGAUACUAGAAAUGGACUCACCUUUGCAAGCUAAAUAUGAAGAUCUCGUCACUUGCUUAAUCUUCGAGAAAAUUAAUGGACCAAAACAAGAGUACACGGAAUUCAUCAUUGAAGAGCGCUUCCAGCAGCGCCAUUUAAGAAUUAUGUUAGGGAAGUCACAAUUAGAAAACCCUACUAUAGGGCAUUUUUAUAGUUGGGCAAGAACCAUUGGUGGAUCGGGUCUUGACUCUUCAGAUAUCUUUUUAUUUUCAUUUUUUGGGCUCACUUGAGUAAUUUUGAACAAACAUUACUUUUUUUAUUUAAUAAAACGGGUCAGGCCCAAAGUUAAUUUUUUUAAAAAAUAUAUAUAUCUCAAAAAAUCUUCUUGUUAUAUUUUCUUCUGAUGACGUUCAAACCCUCUCCUCAAAAAGAAGAAAGUAUACACAGUCGUCAUAAUAUAAUUUAUCCAAUUAUGAGUCAGGUUGAAUUCAAUAGGAAACAAUUUUUGAACAUAGUAAUUUAAUUUAAACUUGUAAUGAUCUAAUGUAGAGUUAAACCACCACUAAUUAUUGUGAAUCAAUUGUUCUUAGCCUCGAAUAAUAGUUCUUUAAUAGUUUGUCUCGAACACUAACAAGACCACUGGAAAAAGAAAAAACACUUUAUUACUUACUAACAGUCUAUUAAGAUUCUUGUUCUCCUAAUUUUCCUAUCUAGGAAUAGGGUCAUGUUCUCGAUGAACUACGGUUGUGUCAUAUUAUGUCUAUUCAUUUCUCCGUAAUUCUUCCUUGGUUGAUCUCAGAGGCAGAGCCAGCCUAUUAAUAAGGGGUUCAUCCAAACCUCCUUCGAUGGAAAAUUUUAUUAUUCAAAUAUGAUUAAAAUAAUUUUUAUUUUUAUAUUGUAUAUGUUGAACCCCUUGAAUAGAAAAUCUUGUUGUGCCUGUGACUGAUCUUUACCUCUCCUCGGACCUAUCACUGUCAAUCUCUUGCACUUCCUCACAAGGGCUUGUGCAUUUUUCCUCUUCACAUACUCGAACUAUCUCAACGCCGUUCUUGCAUCUUGUCUUUCACGAAAACUAUUUUCACAUUGUCCCACAUAUAUUUAUUAUUAAUCUUAUCUCUUCUAGCAUAUCAACGUAUUCCUCUAAGCAUUUUUAUUUCUGCUAUCUUCAUCUUUUGAGUCUGAGAAUUCCUGGCUGACCAUCAUUCCACUUCGUGUAAUAUAGUCGGUCUAACUAUCACUUUAUUAAAAAUUUUAAAUCACAAUGACACAUUCUCAAGUCAUCAAAGUAAGAUAAUAAAUUUGCUAGAAAUCUUGGAAUGAGUGAAUAAGAGUUUUGGAAAGACAAAAAUGUCACAAAUGUGACAAGACAUGACAAGUGUUCGAACAUCAUCCUGAAUUAGUUAAUUUCAAAUUAGUUGUCAUAUUCCGCUUCUAUAUAAAUUAAGUAAUAUUUUAAAAUAUAUAUUUUAUCAUAUUCAUAUGAUGAAAAAUUAUAAAAUACAUUUUUCCAUUGUAUUAAAUAAGAAUAUAUGAAUUGGAAAAAAAAUCCCUCUAAGUGAUUAUUCGACAAACCUUUCGAAACUUUUUUAUAUUGAGAAGUAUAUUUUGAAAAAUAAUAUAUAUCUUUUAAUAUUGUAGUAGUAUUUGAUUCAUUAUUUUUACAAUAAUUUUAUCAGAUAAAGAAUAUUACAUGUUUUAUCAGAAAAUUACAAUUUUUGAAAUUUUAACUGUAGUUCAAAAGUAAUUAGUGCUGACAAUUAAUAGUUCACAAAAAAUCAAACAUAGCACUGUUUACCUUUUAUCAUCUCAAAUUAAAUUUAGUAUAAUGUUAGAGAUAAUAAAAUUCAAAAUAAAUUAUAAAGAUUCAAACUCAUAUUUUAUUCAAUAUAUUCAACUCUUUUCUCCUUCAAGGUAUUACGUUCCUUGUAUAUCCUUUUUAGGUUAUAAUUUAUAAUGAUUUUAUAAAGCUUUUUUUAGUGAAUUAAAUGAUGAUUUUUGUAUUUGUUGAUGAAGUUCUCAUUUUUAGUUCUACAAAAUUCACGUGAUACAUAGAUAAAGAGAAGAAACUUAAGGUCUAGACAGCGGCGGACUUAGAAUUUUGAGUUCGUGGGUGCUCAAUUUUUUUAAAAAGGUAUAUUUACUAUUAAUUAUAUAGUAUAAGUGCACAAUUAUUUGAUGAUGACAAUGAAUAAAUUUGAUUAAAACUAUUCAUAUUUAUAUUAUAAAUAUCAUGAAUUUUUUACAAAAACACAAUCGCCGAAUAAAAAAAAUUGUUGGUUAAGAUAAUGUUCAAGGGUAAAAAAAAUAAAAUAUUUAGGGGUCAAACUUUGGUGUCUUUAAUUAUUUAUUUAUGAGGUCAACAUUAGGAUUUGGGUCAAAUAGCAGCAACAAAACAACUAUUUAUGAAGGCAUUGGAAUAAAGAACUAUUUAUGAAGCCAACAUUGGGAUAAAGAACUAUUUAUGAAGCCGACAUUAGGAUUUGGAUCAAAUAGUGGCAACAAAAGAACUAAAAAUUAUGUCAAAAAAGAACUUCAAUGGGCUUUGAACUCUCGCACGCUCUUACUAGAAAGUUUCCAUCACCAAUCCACUAAGUCAGAUUUAAUGUCUGUGGAUGAUUUCUGAUUUAUUAUAUCUUUUUUCUUCAAUUUCUAAUAUAAUUGUACCUAUUCUGAGUUAAGAUCAAUGGGUGCUCGAGCACCCAUUUUUUAUCUGUAGGUCUUCCCCUGGGUCUAGAAAGAGAAAAGAAUUGAAGAUCUCUGCAAAAAUGUAGGUAGUUAGAUUCAUCAUACGUAGUUACAUUAUCCUCGAUCUUAUAUGACUAGAGUUGGGAAGAACUUAAUAUAAACAGGCAAUUGUCUAAUUGUCAAUGCUCAAGUUGAGUGCUUAAAAAUCUAUAAUUUUAAAUUUUAUACCUAUUAUCACAUUAAUGUCUUUAUAUCCAUGAUCCUCGAAAAUUUCACUAAUAUAAGCCAUUUUCUCACAACAAUUUAAGCAUCUAAAGCAGAUAAAUUAAUAUGAUUAAUAUUUCUUGGUUGUUUAACUUUGAGAUCCAAUCUGAUCCAUUCUUAACAUAAUGCGAGCACAACAGUUUGCUAUAGGAGUGAAACUCAAUUAAAUUUAAAUUAAAUAUUUUUUUGAGAUGAAUAUAAAUCAUACCUAGACUUAACAAGUUUUCUUCAUUCUUUUUGAGAUUCUGCAAUUGAUCUUAAUUUUACAAGUAAAAAACUACAUAUUAUUUGAGAUUUGGUUCAAUUCACUUUUAAGUUUUAUGAUUAUAUGUAUAUAUUAAAUGAUAAUAUUUCAUUACUUCACAACUAAUUAAGAAUUUAAUAAUGUCAACAUUUUUACUCACGCUUUAAUAGAUAGAGAUACAAAAAUUAAUUUUGAUAAUAUAAAAAAAUAUAUAAAUAAAUUCUACUGAACUUUUUAAAGAGCUUAUACAGUGUUCUACCUUCUAUGAAAGUAGGUAUAGAAUAUGUAGCUCAUGGUGAAAAAUAUAACUACCAAACUAUCAAACUCUAAAAUUAUCGCAGAAAUUCAUAAAAAAAAAUGAUAUAUAUUACUUUCAAUUUGAGAAAGUUACAAGUUCACACUGCUACCAAAGCAAGUCAUUUAAAUACUUACAAAAAGCUAAUUAAUCUUCAAGAAAAAACUUUAUAAAACAUAACUAACAUUACCACAACUAGCUUAUUUAUUAAUUUCUUAUUGUUAAUUUUGUUUCUCCAAAAAACUCACGACUUUCAAUUUCUCUCCAGUAAUAGAAAAUAUUUGUGCUAUUUUUAUAACAACGAUAUUAGGGGAUCUGAAAAGUCUGAAUAAACUUAAUUUUAACUAUUCUGCUGAGCAAUUAAUCACAAUUAAAAAGAUCUUAAAAUUAUUAGGAUUAGAGCAAGACCAAUUUCAAGAGAGAAACAAUGAAGAAAACAUAACAGUACGAAUCUAAACAUGAUAUAUCACAAAAAACAGUGAAACUCACAAAAAGAAAGAUAGAAGGUCGUUAGAUCAUACUACAGACAUCAGGAAUUACGCUAUUUAUAACAUCGCAGAAAGUUGGGAUACAUAAUAUAACAAUAUUUAAACUUAUAAAGAUGUAAAGGCGACCCAAUUUAUCUCAAAAAAGACACACCUCAUCAAAAGAAUGAAAGAUCCCAAAUAAAGAUGGUUGUACAACAAAAAAAGAUGGAAUCAAAGCUCAUAAAAGACAGAUCUGGCGGUUAAAAUGAAGAAGAAGAAAGAUCAGGCUCAUAUGAAAUACAGACUAAAAAAUGAGGAUUGAAGAUACUCACCAAGUUCAUCUAAGUUGAAGUUAAACGAAGUCCUUUCGAAUCUACGGAUUGUGGUGAAUUUUCAUAGACAAAGGACAAGAUUUGAAGUCUAUAAUGGCUCUGAUACCGAGAGAGAAUAGAUCUUGAAAGAAUAAGGAGAGAAAUAACUUUUCAGCGCUGGUGGGUCAAUGAAUAUAGGGAAAACCCAGCCUUAUAAAGCCCUAAAAAAUUAUUCUACAACUUAGAAAUAAACUCAUUGUUUAGCGGUGGUGUUAGAAACAAACUCUAAUAUUUGUGUUGAAAUAAAAAUGUAUUGGGUCGUUUUGGUUGUUACUUUUGAUCCUUACGUGGAAUUUGAUUGAACUGCAGAUUUUAGCUCAACUUAAGGGCUAAAUUUGGUUUCCUUUUGGGCUCUUUUGGACGCAAUUUUGGAUCUCUUCAAAACUAAAUUUUAGUCCCCAAUAUUUCUAUUCUUAGACUUUAAAUUGGGCCUCUAAAUAGCUAUCGCAUUUUAACAAUUCAUUUUUCUUGGACUUGAACUCUUCUUCCCCAAAAGAACACCUUUCAAUUGGCUAUUGUCGUGUAAUCGAUAAGUCACGAGUUUAACCAAGCAAUUAUUAGGUCAUGAGUUCAACCGAGCAUUACUAAUGAUGUUAGCAUUAGAAUAGAAUAUCUACAUCGUAUCACUUACAAUAUCAUUCUUUCUCUAAUUUUGCUGGGUCUCCCUUUUUUUUUACUUUAGAAAAACAUCAGAUAAAUUAAAACAAUAAUUAAACUAUCAUUCACUGAGCGACACUUAGCAAAUCUUAUUCAUGCUUUCAUGAAAGAUGAAGAGUCAUGACUUGUAGGUAGCAAGUUCAAACAAUUACUUACUAGCUCACAAAUUUAAACAAGCAAUUAUUAGAUGCCAAAUUCAAGCAAGUAAUUACUAGGUGACAAAUUCAAAUAAAGUAAUAACAAAGUUAUAUCACUAGCCAAAUGGAAAUGGCAAAUCUUAUUUAGGAUUUUAUGUGAGCAAUUACUUGCUAACAAACCCGGAAAUACAAUUAGUGAGUCACAAUUCAAGCACAAUAAUUAUACGAUCAUGAGUUCAAGUAAUUUACUAAUACAAUUUAUAUUAGUGUAAACUAUCUGCAUCACUCCCGUUCGAGUAUCUCCUUUUCUCAAAUCCUAAUGAAUGUCUUAAAUACAUAUAAUUUUACAAAGAUCCACUGAUUCAAAAACUCAACAAUAAUAGUAACUGAUUAUUUUUUAAUAUAAUCUUUCCAUAUAAUAUAAACAAUCUAUUUUACAUCGUGCAUAGUUUUUCUGUGCAAAAUUUAAGGUGACGAAUUAUAAAAUAUAAAAUUAUCAAUUAAAUUUUACCUUUUUAUUAAAAAAAUAAUCACAUUUGAAAUUCUAUUUUUUGGAAAAUUUAAAUUAGUUCUAAAAUUAAUUAAAAAAUUGGGCAAGUUUAUGUCAAUGGGUCUAUGGUAUUUCUUGUUUUCCUUUUCCACCUUCACUUUACCAAUAAUAAGAAUUUCUCAAUCAUGUCUUGAAAAAGUCUUUGAUAGGCUGGAAUGAUCCUUCAUUAGGCAAGCCCUAAUUUUUUUCAAUUUUCCCCUGGGCUCUGCAAACUUAUCAUGUCGUGCAUCUCCACAUCAUCUAUUUACAUCCUUAUCAAUGGGGGCUACACAUCUAGUUUCAAGCCUUCCAGGGGAAUAAGAAAGGGCGAUCCCCUAUCUUCUUACAUUUUCAACCUUUGUAUGGAGCUUCUGUCUAGAAGGAUGAAUCAUAAAGUGGACACUCUUCAGUGGAAUCCCAUUCAGAUUAACCGUAGAGGCCUAAAAAUCUCUCAUCUUUUCUUCGUGGAUGACCUUACCCUAUUUGAUAAAGAUGACAUUCUCAAUUAUACUACCAUUGCUAGAACUCUUGCCAUCUUCAACACUCACUCCGGCCAAAAAUUUAAUCUGGCCAAAUCUAAGGUGUUUUUCUCCUCCAACUGCCACACCUCUACUAAGGAUCAUCUCUCAU